rnacentral:lncRNA from 1 species
UUUGUCAGGGUGUUUUUUAUCAGACCCAGAAGACGCUCAACACUCAGCUGCGCCUAACAAUAUGGAGUAUUAAAACCUUGGAAGAGAAUGAGCCUGGCUACAUGGGUCAGCAAGCCCAAGUGUGAGCAGGAGACUACAGCCAAGGACAGGAAAAGGUUGUAGAGGCUCAAGUCAUUGUAGCCUUCAGACUUGAAAUGUAGAACAUCGAAGGUGGGCAGGAUUUCAUACACUUUGAGAAUGUCCGUUUUCUGCCGGAAUGGGAUGAAGAACGUGUAGACGACCACGGGAAUCAGCAGAGCAUACACAAUGAGGUUAAUGAGGCUGAGCAGCUGGAAGAUGCCCACGGCGAUGAGCUUGCACUGGAAGCGAUCGGGGAUGGUGCUGUCAUUUUUCAGGACGCCUGAUUUGAUGCUGCACAGAAACUCGUCCGAGAGUGAAGAGAGGCUGAAGUAAUAGCUCAAGUAGAUACAUGCCAACAGUAUAACCACAAAUGUCACCAGCCGGCAGCUAAUGUAUUUCAUGAUUAAAUGACUAGAGUUCUUUUUUGUCUUCAAGUA